rnacentral:rRNA from 1 species
UACGUAGGGUGCGAGCGUUAAUCGGAAUUACUGGGCGUAAAGCGUGCGCAGGCGGUGAUGUAAGACCGAUGUGAAAUCCCCGGGCUUAACCUGGGAACUGCAUUGGUGACUGCAUUGCUGGAGUAUGGCAGAGGGGGGUGGAAUUCCACGUGUAGCAGUGAAAUGCGUAGAGAUGUGGAGGAACACCGAUGGCGAAGGCAGCCCCCUGGGCCAAUACUGACGCUCAUGCACGAAAGCGUUGGGAGCAAACAGG